CUCUUGUAUAAUACAUGUGAUGAAAAUGUGGAACGAGUUGUGGAUCAAAUUAAUAAUAUCUCGAACGUGUUUGAAACGCAAUAAUUGAAUCUCGAAUCGUUAGCCGAAUUGUCGUACACGUGCAAUGAAACACGAAUAUGGCUUUGUCAUUAUUGUGAAAAGAUAUUUAGAUACUUUCCAAAACAUGCUAUUUCUAUCUACGAAAUAUGCUUUCCUAUCGUAGAUAUCUUGCAAAAUCUUGACACACGUGGCACACGAUAGAGAGUGAGAAAUAAUUAAAGAUGAUUUAAGAAUAACUUUUAGAAUCCCUUUCGAAGAACUUGUAAAAAAAUGUACCUGGUUGCGCCCAUACGGUCGCGAUGUCUAACUUAAAGCUGCCCAGCGUUAGAUUAGCGCGUAAGAGAUUCCGCGAUUGCUGCACCUGCAUAUCAAUACAAGGUACAUUGUAUAAGUUUAUUUUUACUUGUAUUCGCGUUUCUCACGAAAACUACGACUACCGGUGACCUAACCGUAUUUUUUUUCUCAAUUUUCUUGAGAAGCAGCAAAUUGCUGAAAUACCUGGAAUAUAUGUGUGGUAACAAAGAUAGAAAUCCUCCAUUCUUACCUCCAUUCUUACCAAUCUUUAUCAGUGUUUUGAAUCUCCUUCGUGUUUCUGGUAUCAUAUAAUUUAACUAAUAACAAUAAUGGUAUAAAAAAUGUAAUUGAAGAGAAUUGCAUUUUUUGAAAAAAAUAAAUCCAAAAGAAAUUAAAUAAAGAUACGAAGGUUGGCGAGAUAAGGUUAAAUCAAUAAUGGACUCAGUGUUGAACCUA